UACGAAGGGGGCUAGCGUUGUUCGGAAUUACUGGGCGUAAAGGGCGCGUAGGCGGACAGUUUAGUCAGAGGUGAAAGCCCAGGGCUCAACCCUGGAAUUGCCUUUGAUACUGGCUGUCUUGAGUACGGGAGAGGUGUGUGGAACUCCGAGUGUAGAGGUGAAAUUCGUAGAUAUUCGGAAGAACACCAGUGGCGAAGGCGACACACUGGCCCGUUACUGACGCUGAGGCGCGAAAGCGUGGGGAGCAAACAGG
rnacentral:rRNA from 1 species